rnacentral:rRNA from 1 species
GUGAGUAACACGUAGGUAACCUGCCCAUGUGCCCGGGAUAACUUCUGGAAACGGAUGCUAAAACCGGAUAGGUAGCAGACAAGCAUUUGACUGCUAUUAAAGUGGCUAAGGCCAUGAACAUGGAUGGACCUGCGGUGCAUUAGCUAGUUGGUGAGGUAACGGCCCACCAAGGCGACGAUGCAUAGCCGGCCUGAGAGGGCGGACGGCCACAUUGGGACUGAGACACGGCCCAAACUCCUACGGGAGGCAGCAUG